rnacentral:rRNA from 1 species
GACGAACGCUGGCGGCGUGCCUAAUACAUGCAAGUAGAACGCUGAAGGAGGAGCUUGCUUCUCCGGAUGAGUUGCGAACGGGUGAGUAACGCGUAGGUAACCUGCCUGGUAGCGGGGGAUAACUAUUGGAAACGAUAGCUAAUACCGCAUAAGAGUAGAUGUCGCAUGACAUUUGCUUAAAAGGUGCAACUGCACCACUACCAGAUGGACCUGCGUUGUAUUAGCUAGUUGGUGAGGUAACGGCUCACCAAGGCAACGAUACAUAGCCGACCUGAGAGGGUGAGCGGCCACACUGGGACGGAGACACGGCCCAGACUCCUACGGGAGGCAGCAGUAGGGAAUCUUCGGCAAUGGACGGAAGGCUGACCGAGAAACGCCGCGUGAGGGAAGAAGGGUUUCGGAUCGUAAAGCUCUGUUGUAAGAGAAGAACGAGUGUGAGAGUGGAAAGUUCACACUGUGACGGUAUCUUACCAGAAAGGGACGGCUAACUACGUG